AGAGUUUGAUCCUGGCUCAGAACGAACGCUGGCGGCGUGGAUAAGACAUGCAAGUCGAGCGCUGAUUUCGGGGUAGCAAUAUUCCGGAGUCGGAGCGGCGCAAGGGUGCGUAACACGUGGGUAAUCUGCCAUGAAGUUCGGGAUAACUUGCUGAAAGGCGAGCUAAUACCGGAUGUGACAACUGAGAGGCAUCUUUUGGUUGUUAAAGUUGGGGACCGUAAGGCCUGACGCUUCUUGAUGAACCCGCGGCCUAUCAGCUAGUUGGUGAGGUAACGGCCCACCAAGGCUAAGACGGGUAGCUGGUCUGAGAGGACGACCAGCCACACUGGAACUGAGACACGGUCCAGACACCUACGGGUGGCAGCAGUCGAGAAUUUUUCACAAUGGGCGCAAGCCUGAUGGAGCGACGCCGCGUGGGGGAUGAAUGGCUUCGGCCCGUAAACCCCUGUCAUUCGCGAUCAAACCUCAUUAUUUAAAAGAUGAUGAGCUGAUAGUAGCGGAAGAGGAAGGGACGGCUAACUCUGUGCCAGCAGCCGCGGUAAUACAGAGGUCCCAAGCGUUGUUCGGAUUCACUGGGCGUAAAGGGUGCGUAGGUGGUGAGGUAAGUCGGAUGUGAAAUCUCGGAGCUCAACUCCGAAAUGGCAUUGGAAACUACCUUGCUCGAGGGUUGGAGGGGGGACUGGAAUACUUGGUGUAGCAGUGAAAUGCGUAGAUAUCAAGUGGAACACCAGUGGCGAAAGCGAGUCCCUGGACAACUCCUGACACUGAGCACGAAAGCUAGGGAGCAAACAGGAUUAGAUACCCUGGUAGUCCUAGCCGUAAACG
rnacentral:rRNA from 1 species